AUGAACGCUGGCGGCGUGCCUAAUACAUGCAAGUCGAGCGAACAGAUAAGGAGCUUGCUCCUUUGAAGUUAGCGGCGGACGGGUGAGUAACACGUGGGUAACCUACCUAUAAGACUGGGAUAACUUCGGGAAACCGGAGCUAAUACCGGAUAACAUUUAGAACCGCAUGGUUCUAAAGUGAAAGAUGGUUUUGCUAUCACUUAUAGAUGGACCCGCGCCGUAUUAGCCAGUUGGUAAGGUAACGGCUUACCAAGGCGACGAUACGUAGCCGACCUGAGAGGGUGAUCGGCCACACUGGAACUGAGACACGGUCCAGACUCCUACGGGAGGCAGCAGUAGGGAAUCUUCCGCAAUGGGCGAAAGCCUGACGGAGCAACGCCGCGUGAGUGAUGAAGGGUUUCGGCUCGUAAAACUCUGUUAUUAGGGAAGAACAAAUGUGUAAGUAACUGUGCACAUCUUGACGGUACCUAAUCAGAAAGCCACGGCUAACUACGUGCCAGCAGCCGCGG
rnacentral:rRNA from 1 species